GAUGAACGCUAGCGGCAGGCCUAAUACAUGCAAGUCGAACGGUGUCUUCGGACAUAGUGGCGCACGGGUGCGUGACACGUAUGCAACCUACCUUACAUUGGGGGAUAGCCUUUCGAAAGGGAGAUUAAUACCGCAUAAGACAGUAGCUGGGCAUCCAGCAGCUGUUAAAGAUUUAUCGAUGUAAGCUGGGCAUGCGUCCAAUUAGCUAGUUGGUGAGGUAACGGCUCACCAAGGCAAUGAUUGGUAGGGGAACUGAGAGGUCAAGCCCCCACACUGGCACUGAGUGACGGGCCAGACUCCUACGGGAGGCAGCAGUAGGGAAUAUUGGGCAAUGGACGCAAGUCUGACCCAGCCAUGCCGCGUGCAGGAUGAAGGCGUUAUGCGUUGUAAACUGCUUUUAUACAGGAAGAAACGACUCUUGCGAGAGGCAUUGACGGUACUGUAUGAAUAAGCACCGGCUAACUCCGUGCCAGCCGCCGCCGUAAAAC
rnacentral:rRNA from 1 species